rnacentral:rRNA from 1 species
UACAGAGGGCUCAAGCGUUGUUCGGAUUCAUUGGGCGUAAAGGGUGCGUAGGUGGCGCGGUAAGUCUGGUGUGAAAUCUCGGGGCUCAACCCCGAAACUGCACUGGAUACUGCCUUGCUCGAGUACUGGAGAGGAGAUUGGAAUUUACGGUGUAGCAGUGAAAUGCGUAGAUAUCGUAAGGAAGACCAGUGGCGAAGGCGAAUCUCUGGACAGUUACUGACACUGAGGCGCGAAAGCGUGGGGAGCAAACAGG